GACGAAGGAUGCAAGCGUUAUCCGGAUUCAUUGGGUUUAAAGGGAGCGUAGGUGGCCUUAUAAGUCAGUGGUGAAAUCUUUGGGCUUAACCCAAAAAUUGCCAUUGAUACUGUAGGGCUUGAGUACAGUUGCCGUUGGCGGAAUAUGACAUGUAGUGGUGAAAUACAUAGAGAUGUCACAGAACACCGAUUGCGAAGGCAGCUCGCUAAACUGUGAUUGACGCUGAGGCACGAAAGCGUGGGGAUCAAACAGG
rnacentral:rRNA from 1 species